rnacentral:pre_miRNA from 1 species
CAAAUACAUCCUCCGUCCCGAAUUAGUUGUCUCAUAUUUGGCUAGAUACGGAUGUAUCUAUUUUCUAGAUACAUACGUAGUCAAAUCUAAGUCAAUUAAUUUGGGAUGGAGGGAGUAGCAU